ensembl:lncRNA
CCUCCCUGCGCAGACCUGGACUACCGGCAGGCCCCCGAGACCAAUCCGGCUCUGCCGUCCUCCGCAGCCCCAGGAGAAGCUCCCAGACCCCCGGAGCCGGACUUCAGCUGCCCCCCGCCGCCGUUUGGCUUCGCAGACAGCUACCUCGGCCACAUGAUGCCCCCUCAGCCGCCUCUCGGCCCGGAGGCCUUCGCUCACGGAGCCGGCGCGGUCUUCAGCGGAGACAAGGACCAUCGCUUCGAGUACAAUCACAGCGGACCGCCGCCGCCGUCUGUUCCCCCUCCAGGCCAAGCCUGGACGUCUCCAUCCCAGUCCCUCCCGCUCGGGUACGUUCCUCACGUGAACACGGUCGCGCUUCGGGGCAGAGGACUCCCUUUUUGACAGAAUCCCGGCGAUUUUUCCAGACGCCUCGGAAAAGGAAGACUGUAAGGCUGAUGAUAGACGAGGCAAGUUUUUGAACUAACCCUUUAAUGCUGCGAUUACGGGGCCCACGAACGAACUAAAGUAUCCAGAUAGAAAAGUGCCACCCAUUCUCGAGGGGAACCUGCUCAAAAAGUUUCCCCGUGCAUCAUCAGCCUGAAAGACGCACGCAGUUGCCCUCGACCAGCACUAAGAGUCUCAGAACUCGAUUUGUAAGAUUUCUAAGACACCCGAGGAACAGCUUGGAGGGACGAACUGUUGGGAGCUUUUGCGUUUCCCCUCCGAGUGUUUUUUGUAAUCUGUUCUACUGCUGUCUUUUAAAUUAAACUGUACCUUUGAGUGUGCAUUUACCGUGCCGGGUAAGUGUUUUAUGACCUUGAUCCGCGUGAGGACAGACUAGUGUUACGAUGAUGUUUUGCACUGCUGAAUAAAGUAGGUGGACACAAGCGACGCCGAUGGAGGAAUGUGCUGUAUCUGCACACGUACACGACCAGUGACGGACGGCGUUUUCUUAUUACGUUCUCUUUUUUGUUUUUGUUUCCUUCGUUUCUAAUGAUUCAGUAAUCAUGGGCUCUGUGGCGAGGGAACUUCACCGAGGGGCUGUUGAAGAGACCGCUAGCACUUCUGGACCGAACCGGUGAACGGAUCAAAGCUCUUGUCUAUAGCCAUUGUAAAAUUGAAAGUAAAGAGACGUUUAACUGACUUCGAGGAGAUGAGCAGCAAUGUCUUUUUUUGUAUGAAGAUGUUUUUUUUUUUCUCCCCCUUUGGCAAAUGUUUAUUAAAGAAAUGCCAACCAUGUAACACGUACUGGUAUUUUUAAUCAUUUGUAUAUUUUUGCGUUUCAUGUACAUCUGUAAUCAAAUAUGUGCACCACUGCUGUGUUUAUAAGUGUAUCAGACACUUCAGCGGUGAAGGUUUAAGCUGCUCUAUGAUUGAAGUUCCUUGGAGAAUACUGUAAUCUUAGUUUUUCAGGACUUGUUAGUAAAAUUAAUUUGAACCCAAUUGGAGCAGUCUCUUGCAGUGUGACAUACUAAAUGCUUUUAUACCUAACUAUAGAAAAUGAGCUCACUAAAUGUAUUUAGAUUUGAUAAAAUGUUAAUGUAUAACGCGGUCCUGUAAUGCCUCGUGUAGCCGAUAGUUGGCAGCAAAAACAACUUGCUCAC